UUUGUUUUUUUUGUCAAACUGUCAUCCCCGAAGGACCACAUGCGGCCCGAAUCACCAAAAACUUUUCCCUUGUGCCGAUCACUCUCUCACUCUGCUCUCUCUCUCACCCAUCCCACGCUCCUUUCUUCGCUUCUCUGUUCGUGCUCCUUCUUCUCGGGCACAACACUAGUGGUCCUUGCCUAGUUGAGGCUCUGAAAUUGGUUGGGGGAACUUAGCUGACCACAGAUUCUUAUUCCUUGGUGCUGGAGAGAGGAGUGGAACCUCAUCAACAAAACAUCCAGAUAUGGCAGAGGAAUUCACCCUUGCUGAGAUUAUGGCAGCAACCGACAAUUUCUCACUUGAGAAAAAGAUUGGUGCUGGAAGCUAUGGUGUUGUGUACAGAGGAAAACUUGCUGAUGGUCGUGAGGUUGCAAUCAAAAGGGAGGAAGCUGGUACUACUAAGGUGAAGAUGUUUUAAGAGAAAUAGAGUGCAUUUGAGUUAGAAUUGGCCUUCUUGUCAUGUCUACACCACAAGCACUUGGUUAGGCUAAUUGGGUUAUGUGAAGAGAAAGAUGAAAGGCUCUUGGUGUAUGAGUACAUGAAGAAUGGGACCUUACAUGAUCAUUUGCAUGACAAAAACAGCGUGGAGAAGAGUAGUAGUGUUUUACACCACAUUUGCAAGCCAAUUACACUAUUACUCUUCUCCACGUUGUUUUUGUCAUGCAAAUGAUCAUGUAAGGCCCCAUUCUUCAUGUACUCAUACACCAAGAGCCUUUCAUCUUUCUCUUCACAGAACCCAAUUAGCCUAACCAAGUGCUUGUGGUGUAGACGGGACAAGAAGGCCAAUUCUGAUUCAAAUGCACUCUCUUUCUCUUGAAACAUCUUCACCUUAGUAGUACAUACAUAAAAUUGUGAACUGAAUUGACUUCAAGAAAAGAAACAACUAAAUAAUUUAGUUGUCAAGGAUCUUACCUGCAUCUUAAAUGAUCUAUGCUGCAUUGUUAUUGUAGACAACAAUCCUUUCAGCUUUGUAUUGCAACCAGUGAAUGGAAUUUCAUGUAUCCCAUUUUCUGCUGGGCAACCACAUGACACCCAGAUGCACAGAUUUGUUCUGUUGAACAUAAAAUCAUCAUGGCCAAAAUAAAAUAAAAUCAUUCAUCUGGUAUUUUGAUGUUUUACUCACCAUCUCCUGUAUUUUGCUUGUUUAUCAGCUUCUAGAUGUCAUUCUAGCAUUUCUCAAGCAACUGUCUGAGCAGAAAGAUGUAAGACCUAUGCUCUAUGAAAAGUUCCACAUGCCAGAUUGGCUCCAGAAGCAAGGGAUUCCAGCUUCCAGUUGGGAUAUUGUAGUAUUAAAAUCGUUCGCCAUGAAGCUCUUUUGUUUAUUUGGUGAAAUUUUCAUAUUGUUGAAAGGGCAGCCGCUGAUUGGACGAAAUUGAAUUUUUGUAUAGCACCAAUUUGUUUCUGGAGCAUCCUGAGGUUUCAAAUGCUGUUUUUUUUUAAAGUCAAAUUAGUUCACCAUUUAUGUAUGUAGAUUACCAGAAUUCUUAUUCUUGUUUAUAGGCUUGCAAUCUGUUGGAAAGGAUCUCGUUAGUUUAUUGUACAAUUAUCUAUCAAUAAUUAUUGGCAGUUCAA